rnacentral:rRNA from 1 species
ACUCCUACGGGAGGCAGCAGUGAGGAAUAUUGGUCAAUGGACGCAAGUCUGAACCAGCCAUGCCGCGUGCAGGAUGACGGCCCUACGGGUUGUAAACUGCUUUUAUACUGGGAAUAAUGGUGUCCUACGUGUAGGAUUUUGAAGGUACCGUACUGAAUAAGGAUCGGCUAACUCCGUGCCAGCAGCCGCGGUAAUACGGAGGAUCCAAGCGUUAUCCGGAUUCAUUGGGUUUAAAGGUCCGUAGGCGGGUCUUUAAGUCAGAGGUGAAAGCCUGCAGCUCAACUGUGGAACUGCCUUUUGAUACGGAGAUCUUGAGUGUGCGUGA